rnacentral:rRNA from 1 species
UCUUACUAGAAGUAAUUUAUUUGUUUUUUNUAAUAAAACUUUAAAUAAAAAAACCAAUUCACAUAUACAUUAAUAUAUUAGAAUAAACUUGGCUCUGAUUUAUUUAUAUAGCAUAAACUAAGGAAUACACAUGGUUUUUUUAGAAAGAGACGAGGUAGAAGAGUGAAUAAUUAUAAAUUUAUAAUUUAUGGUUUAUUUUUCUUUUAAGGUAUUAUAAUAUUAAAAAAUGCCUUGAAAAGUCCCGUUAGCACCAGUGUUGAAGUUUAAUUUAAGAGUGAAAGCUUGUAUUAAUUUAGUAAAAUAAAUUUGGUUAACUUGGUGCCAGCAUCCGCGGUUACACCAAGAAAUUAAGUUAUAUAUUGUAUGGUAAAAAGACAGUUAGACAAAUCAUUAUAUUAUAAAGUUAUACAACUUUUUUUAGAAAAGUAAAAUUUGAAUAAUAACUUCUAAACCAAAAAUAACUUGUAAGUUGAAUCUGUGAAAACCUUGAGGGAAACUGGGAUUAGAUACCCCAUUAUUCUUGGUCUUAAAUUAAUUACAAUUUACCAGAGUACUAUGAAUCUAAUAAAAUUUAAAACUCAAAGAGCUUGGCGGUGCUUUAGACCACUUAGGGGAACCUGUCUCAUAAUCGAUAAUCCACGUCACACCUAGCCUUUUUUUGUACACAGCUUGUAUACCGUUGUCGUCAGGUAACUUUUUAGAAAUUAGAAGUUAGCUAAUAGUUAGUAUAAACUGAAACGUCAAAUCAAGGUGCAGUUAAUAAAGAGGAGAGGAUGGGUUACAAUUAUAUAAUUAUAAUUACGGAGAGUCUUUAGAACUAAAGACUUGAAGGAGGACUUGAAAGUAAAAACAAAUUAUAUAAAUAUUUUGAAUAUGGCUCUGAAGCGUGCACACAUCGCCCGUCGCUCUUGUUGGAAAAUAAGAUAAGUCGUAACAUAGUAGGGGUAAUGGAAAUUGUUCCUGAACU